AUUGAACGCUGGCGGCAUGCCUUACACAUGCAAGUCGAACGGCAGCACGGGUGCUUGCACCUGGUGGCGAGUGGCGAACGGGUGAGUAAUACAUCGGUACCUGUCCUGUAGCGGGGGAUAGCCCGGCGAAAGCCGGAUUAAUACCGCAUACGAACCACGGAUGAAAGCGGGGGACCUUCGGGCCUCGCGCUAUAGGGUUGGCCGAUGGCUGAUUAGCUAGUUGGUGGGGUAAAGGCCUACCACGGCGACGAUCAGUAGCUGGUCUGAGAGGACGACCGGCCACACUGGGACUGAGACACGGCCCAGACUCCUACGGGAGGCAGCAGUGGGGAAUUUUGGACAAUGGGCGAAAGCCUGAUCCAGCAAUGCCGCGUGUGUGAAGAAGGCCUUCGGGUUGUAAAGCACUUUUGUCCGGAAAGAAAUCCUUGACUCUAAUACAGUCGGGGGAUGACGGUACCGGAAGAAUAAGCACCGGCUAACUACGUG
rnacentral:rRNA from 1 species